rnacentral:ncRNA from 1 species
ACAAACAGGGGAGCUUGUAGACAGGCUGAGAGGAAGUUUUUUGAACUUCGACCCUUUUACCUGAUGCGGAUAAUGCCGCCGUAGGAAGUGUGAA